AUUCUUCAACACUUUAAAAUUCGAGGUCGAAUUUUUUUGAAAGUGUGGAUAAAUGACAUGGUGCGCAAAUCAAUAUUAGACCUAAAGACUUUUGUUUUCCCACAUAAGGACUUCUAGUUUUAGAUGAAUUCUUUAUUUUCUUAGAUAAGUUUUAUUUUUAUUUCCUAGUUUAUUUAGAACUCUAAAAUAUUAUUCCUAUUUAUUUUAGGUCGUUUAGAUUAUUCCUACUUAAGUUAUGAUUUAUAGCUCUAUAAAUAUCCUUUCUAUUCUCACUAUGUAUAGGUCUUUUAGAAUUAUUCAAUGAAAUUUUCUUUUUCAUAAAAUUGUCUUUACUUAUUUAUCCUUACACUUUGGAUUAAGCCUUGUGUUUCUUAAGGUUUUGAAUUAAAUCUUAUUUAUUUUUCAAGUUGAUUGUAUAUUGAUUCUUUUCCGCGCUACACAUUACGUCAACCUUCACCGUACUCUUAGAAUACCAUAGGAGCACAUCAUAGAAAGUGUGUGAUGAGGUUCCAUUGAUUAUAAUGCAUAACCAUCAUUUGAUACAUGAUAAAGCAGAUAAAUUGUAAAAACAAGUAAGGAAAACAGUAAAAACACCAAAAUGUCCACCCAGGAAUCUAAUCCUAAGUGCUCAAAGCAAAACAAUCUUCUUCAUUUUCAUGUACUAAAUAAUUGGAUGAGCCAUUGGACACCAAGUAGAGAACCAAUGUGACAUUUCAAAAAGAUGUCAAAAAACACCAGAUAUUGGAAGUAAAAACUUAUUGGACAAAGAAAUUGCCUUAGAGCCCGG
rnacentral:misc_RNA from 1 species